rnacentral:rRNA from 1 species
AGCGAACGCUAGCGGGUGGCUUAACACAUGCAAGUCGAGCGAGAACUUCGGGUUCUAGCGGCGGACGGGUGAGUAACACGUAGGAAAUCUGCCCUGUGGUGGGGGAUAGCCGGGGGAAACCCCGAUUAAUACCGCAUAUGGCCCACGGGUCAAAGGCUUCGGCCGCCAUGGGAUGAUCCUGCGGCCCAUUAUUUAAUCCUUGUUGGUGGGGUAACGGCCUACCAAGGGUACGAUGGGUAGCUGGUCUGAGAGGACGAUCAGCCACACUGGGACUGAGACACGGCCCAG